rnacentral:rRNA from 1 species
UACGAAGGGGGCAAGCGUUGUUCGGAAUUAUUGGGCGUAAAGGGAGCGUAGGCGGUUCGGCAAGUCUUUAGUGAAAUCUCUGGGCUCAACUCAGAGUCUGCUGGAGAAACUGCCGGGCUGGAGUAUGGGAGAGGUGAGUGGAAUUCCCGGUGUAGCGGUGAAAUGCGUAGAUAUUGGGAGGAACACCAGUGGCGAAGGCGGCUCACUGGACCGGAACUGACGCUGAGGCGCGAAAGCGUGGGGAGCAAACGGG